UACGUAGGGUGCAAGCGUUAAUCGGAAUUACUGGGCGUAAAGCGUGCGCAGGCGGUAAUGUAAGACAGAUGUGAAAUCCCCGGGCUCAACCUGGGAACUGCAUUUGUGACUGCAUAGCUAGAGUACGGUAGAGGGGGAUGGAAUUCCGCGUGUAGCAGUGAAAUGCGUAGAUAUGCGGAGGAACACCGAUGGCGAAGGCAAUCCCCUGGACCUGUACUGACGCUCAUGCACGAAAGCGUGGGGAGCAAACAGG
rnacentral:rRNA from 1 species